GGUCAAUGGUGACGAAAUCGGGCUGUCUAUCAAGGCUGGAUGAAAGGAAAGAACCCCUCCCCUUUUUCUUACAACGUCUACAUCAGACAAAUCAAACAAUCGUAAAGGUUCGACGGAUAGCAAUGUUAAUGCAAUGCACGAACGAGAUAACACAAAACGUUCUUUUCAUUCCAUCUUCGACAUACACAUUACAAAAUCAGGGAAAGAAGGGC
rnacentral:lncRNA from 1 species